ensembl:snRNA U6 U6 spliceosomal RNA
UUGCUUCGGCAGCACGUAUAAAAUUGGAAUAAUACAGAAAAGAUUAGCAUGACCCCUGCACAAGGAUGACACACAAAUUCGUGAAGCAUUCCAUAUUUUU